AUUGAACGCUGGCGGCAUGCUUUACACAUGCAAGUCGAACGGUAACAGGCCGCAAGGUGCUGACGAGUGGCGAACGGGUGAGUAAUGCAUCGGAACGUGCCCAGUCGUGGGGGAUAACUACUCGAAAGAGUAGCUAAUACCGCAUACGAUCUAUGGAUGAAAGCGGGGGACCGUAAGGCCUCGCGCGAUUGGAGCGGCCGAUGUCAGAUCAGGUAGUUGGUGGGGUAAAGGCUCACCAAGCCAACGAUCUGUAGCUGGUCUGAGAGGACGACCAGCCACACUGGGACUGAGACACGGCCCAGACUCCUACGGGAGGCAGCAGUGGGGAAUUUUGGACAAUGGGCGCAAGCCUGAUCCAGCAAUGCCGCGUGCAGGAAGAAGGCCUUCGGGUUGUAAACUGCUUUUGUACGGAACGAAACGGCUCUGGUUAAUACCCGGGGCUAAUGACGGUACCGUAAGAAUAAGCACCGGCUAACUACGUG
rnacentral:rRNA from 1 species